AACACUGUUAACCUGCGGUACCUGCGGAAGGAUCAUUACCGAGUUUACAACUCCCAAACCCCGUGAACAUACCAAUUGUUGCCUCGGCGGAUCAGCCCGCUCCCGGUAAAACGGGACGGCCCGCCAGAGGACCCCUAAACUCUGUUUCUAUAUGUAACUUCUGAGUAAAACCAUAAAUAAAUCAAAACUUUCAACAAUGGAUCU
rnacentral:misc_RNA from 1 species